GAGUUUGAUCAUGGCUCAGAUUGAACGCUGGCGGCAGGCCUAACACAUGCAAGUCGAGCGGAUGACGGGAGCUUGCUCCUUGAUUCAGCGGCGGACGGGUGAGUAAUGCCUAGGAAUCUGCCUGGUAGUGGGGGACAACGUUUCGAAAGGAACGCUAAUACCGCAUACGUCCUACGGGAGAAAGCAGGGGACCUUCGGGCCUUGCGCUAUCAGAUGAGCCUAGGUCGGAUUAGCUAGUUGGUGGGGUAAUGGCUCACCAAGGCGACGAUCCGUAACUGGUCUGAGAGGAUGAUCAGUCACACUGGAACUGAGACACGGUCCAGACUCCUACGGGAGGCAGCAGUGGGGAAUUUUGGACAAUGGGGGCAACCCUGAUCCAGCCAUGCCGCGUGAGUGAAGAAGGCCUUCGGUUGUAAG
rnacentral:rRNA from 1 species